rnacentral:rRNA from 1 species
CCUACGGGUGGCUGCAGUGAGGAAUAUUGGUCAAUGGGCGAGAGCCUGAACCAGCCAAGUCGCGUGAAGGAUGACGGCCCUACGAGUUGUAAACUUCUUUUGUCAGGGAGCAAAUGACUCUACGUGUGGUCUUCUCGAGAGUUCCUGCAGAAAAAGCAUCGGCUAACCCGUGUCCGGCACCCGGGUUAAUACGGAGGAUGCGAGCGUUACCCGGAUUUCUGGGUUUUAAAGGGUGCUAAGGAGGAAUAUCAAGUAGGCGGUAAAACUUGGGGUCUCAACCCGGCUGUGCCGUUGAAACUGAUGGUCUUGAGUGGGGUAGAAGUAGGCGGAAUGUGUGGUGUAGCGGUGAAAUGCAUAGAUAUCACACAGAACUCCGAUUGCGAAGGCAGCAUACCGAAGUACAACUGACGCUGAGGCACGAAAGCGUGGGGAUCGAACAGGAUUAGAUACCCGUGUAGUC